rnacentral:rRNA from 1 species
CGAACGCUGGCGGCAGGCCUAAUACAUGCAAGUCGAACGGCUCUUCGGAGCAGUGGCGGACGGGUGAGUAACGCGUGGGAAUGUGCCCUUUGGUACGGAACAACACAGGGAAACUUGUGCUAAUACCGUAUGUGCCCUUCGGGGGAAAGAUUUAUCGCCAUUGGAGCAGCCCGCGUUGGAUUAGGUAGUUGGUGAGGUAAAGGCUCACCAAGCCUACGAUCCAUAGCUGGUCUGAGAGGAUGACCAGCCACACUGGGACUGAGACACGGCCCAGACUCCUACGGGAGGCAGCAGUAGGGAAUCUUGCGCAAUGGGCGAAAGCCUGACGCAGCCAAGCCGCGUGUAUGAUGAAGGUCUUAGGAUUGUAAAAUACUUUCACCGGGGAAGAUAAUGACGGUACCCGGAGAAGAAGCCCCGGCUAACUUCGUGCCAGCCGCCGCCGUAAGAC